rnacentral:rRNA from 1 species
GCCCUUCGGGGUACACGAGCGGCGAACGGGUGAGUAACACGUGGGUGAUCUGCCUCGCACUUCGGGAUAAGCCUGGGAAACUGGGUCUAAUACCGGAUAUGACCUUUCAGUGCAUGCUGUUGGGUGGAAAGAUUUAUCGGUGCGAGAUGGGCCCGCGGCCUAUCAGCUUGUUGGCGGGGUAACGGCCCACCAAGGCGACGACGGGUAGCCGACCUGAGAGGGUGACCGGCCACACUGGGACUGAGACACGGCCCAGACUCCUACGGGAGGCAGCAGUGGGGAAUAUUGCACAAUGGGCGGAAGCCUGAUGCAGCGACGCCGCGUGAGGGAUGACGGCCUUCGGGUUGUAAACCUCUUUCGACAGGGACGAAGCGCAAGUGACGGUACCUGUAGAAGAAGCACCGGCCAACUACGUGCCAGCAGCCGCGGUAAUACGUAGGGUGCGAGCGUUGUCCGGAAUUACUGGGCGUAAAGAGCUUGUAGGCGGUUUGUCGCGUCGUCCGUGAAAACUUGGGGCUCAACCCCAAGCUUGCGGGCGAUACGGGCAGACUUGAGUACUUCAGGGGAGACUGGAAUUCCUGGUGUAGCGGUGAAAUGCGCAGAUAUCAGGAGGAACACCGGUGGCGAAGGCGGGUCUCUGGGAAGUAACUGACGCUGAGAAGCGAAAGCGUGGGUAGCGAACAGGAUUAGAUACCCUGGUAGUCCACGCCGUAAACGGUGGGUACUAGGUGUGGGUUUCCUUCCACGGGAUCCGUGCCGUAGCUAACGCAUUAAGUACCCCGCCUGGGGAGUACGGCCGCAAGGCUAAAACUCAAAGGAAUUGACGGGGGCCCGCACAAGCGGCGGAGCAUGUGGAUUAAUUCGAUGCAACGCGAAGAACCUUACCUGGGUUUGACAUACACCGGAAACCUGCAGAGAUGUAGGCCCCCUUGUGGUCGGUGUACAGGUGGUGCAUGGCUGUCGUCAGCUCGUGUCGUGAGAUGUUGGGUUAAGUCCCGCAACGAGCGCAACCCUUGUCCUGUGUUGCCAGCGCGUAAUGGCGGGGACUCGCAGGAGACUGCCGGGGUCAACUCGGAGGAAGGUGGGGACGACGUCAAGUCAUCAUGCCCCUUAUGUCCAGGGCUUCACACAUGCUACAAUGGCCGGUACAGAGGGCUGCGAUACCGUGAGGUGGAGCGAAUCCCUUAAAGCCGGUCUCAGUUCGGAUCGGGGUCUGCAACUCGACCCCGUGAAGUUGGAGUCGCUAGUAAUCGCAGAUCAGCAACGCUGCGGUGAAUACGUUCCCGGGCCUUGUACACACCGCCCGUCACGUCAUGAAAGUCGGUAACACCCGAAGCCGGUGGCCUAACCCCUUGUGGGAGGGAG